rnacentral:tRNA from 1 species
UCCCUGGUGGUCCAGUGGUGAAGACUUCAUGCUCCCGACACAGAGGGCCUGGGUUCGAACCCUGGUCAGGGAA